rnacentral:rRNA from 2 species
ACGCUGGCGGCGUGCCUAAUACAUGCAAGUCGAACGAGUUCUCGUUGAUGAUCGGUGCUUGCACCGAGAUUCAACAUGGAACGAGUGGCGGACGGGUGAGUAACACGUGGGUAACCUGCCCUUAAGUGGGGGAUAACAUUUGGAAACAGAUGCUAAUACCGCAUAGAUCCAAGAACCGCAUGGUUCUUGGCUGAAAGAUGGCGUAAGCUAUCGCUUUUGGAUGGACCCGCGGCGUAUUAGCUAGUUGGUGAGGUAAUGGCUCACCAAGGCGAUGAUACGUAGCCGAACUGAGAGGUUGAUCGGCCACAUUGGGACUGAGACACGGCCCAAACUCCUACGGGAGGCAGCAGUAGGGAAUCUUCCACAAUGGACGCAAGUCUGAUGGAGCAACGCCGCGUGAGUGAAGAAGGCUUUCGGGUCGUAAAACUCUGUUGUUGGAGAAGAAUGGUCGGCAGAGUAACUGUUGUCGGCGUGACGGUAUCCAACCAGAAAGCCACGGCUAACUACGUGCCAGCAGCCGCGGUAAUACGUAGGUGGCAAGCGUUAUCCGGAUUUAUUGGGCGUAAAGCGAGCGCAGGCGGUUUUUUAAGUCUGAUGUGAAAGCCCUCGGCUUAACCGAGGAAGCGCAUCGGAAACUGGGAAACUUGAGUGCAGAAGAGGACAGUGGAACUCCAUGUGUAGCGGUGAAAUGCGUAGAUAUAUGGAAGAACACCAGUGGCGAAGGCGGCUGUCUGGUCUGUAACUGACGCUGAGGCUCGAAAGCAUGGGUAGCGAACAGGAUUAGAUACCCUGGUAGUCCAUGCCGUAAACGAUGAAUGCUAGGUGUUGGAGGGUUUCCGCCCUUCAGUGCCGCAGCUAACGCAUUAAGCAUUCCGCCUGGGGAGUACGACCGCAAGGUUGAAACUCAAAGGAAUUGACGGGGGCCCGCACAAGCGGUGGAGCAUGUGGUUUAAUUCGAAGCAACGCGAAGAACCUUACCAGGUCUUGACAUCUUUUGAUCACCUGAGAGAUCAGGUUUCCCCUUCGGGGGCAAAAUGACAGGUGGUGCAUGGUUGUCGUCAGCUCGUGUCGUGAGAUGUUGGGUUAAGUCCCGCAACGAGCGCAACCCUUAUGACUAGUUGCCAGCAUUUAGUUGGGCACUCUAGUAAGACUGCCGGUGACAAACCGGAGGAAGGUGGGGAUGACGUCAAAUCAUCAUGCCCCUUAUGACCUGGGCUACACACGUGCUACAAUGGAUGGUACAACGAGUUGCGAGACCGCGAGGUCAAGCUAAUCUCUUAAAGCCAUUCUCAGUUCGGACUGUAGGCUGCAACUCGCCUACACGAAGUCGGAAUCGCUAGUAAUCGCGGAUCAGCACGCCGCGGUGAAUACGUUCCCGGGCCUUGUACACACCGCCCGUCACACCAUGAGAGUUUGUAACACCCGAAGCCGGUGGCGUAACCCUUUUAGGGAGCGAGCCGUCUAAGGUGGGA